rnacentral:rRNA from 1 species
GACGAACCGUGCAAACGUUAUUCGGAAUCACUGGGCUUAAAGGGUGCGUAGGCGGGCUCGUCAGUCAGGGGUGAAAUCCCACGGCCCAACCGUGGAAGUGCCUCUGAUACUGCGAGCCUCGAGGGGGAUAGGGGCGUGCGGAACUCAGGGUGGAGCGGUGAAAUGCGUAGAUAUCCUGAGGAACACCGGUGGCGAAAGCGGCGCGCUGGAUCCCUACUGACGCUGAGGCACGAAAGCCAGGGGAGCAAACGGG